rnacentral:rRNA from 1 species
CCUACGGGAGGCAGCAGUGGGGAAUUUUGGACAAUGGGCGCAAGCCUGAUCCAGCCAUGCCGCGUGAGUGAAGAAGGCCUUCGGGUUGUAAAGCUCUUUCGGCGGGGAAGAAAAGGUACGUGCUAAUACCACGGACUAAUGACGGUACCCGAAGAAGAAGCACCGGCUAACUACGUGCCAGCAGCCGCGGUAAUACGUAGGGUGCAGGCGUUAAUCGGAAUUACUGGGCGUAAAGCGUGCGCAGGCGGUUUGUUAAGACAGAUGUGAAAUCCCCGGGCUUAACCUGGGAACUGCGUUUGUUACUGGCAAGCUAGAGUGUGGCAGAGGGGGGUUAGAAUUCCAGGUGUAGCAGUGAAAUGCGUAGAUAUCUGGAGGAAUACCGAUGGCGAAGGCAGCCCCCUGGGCUAACACUGACGCUCAUGCACGAAAGCGUGGGGAGCAAACAGGAUUAGAUACCCCUGGUAGUCCACGCCCUAAACUAUGUCAACUGGUUGUCGGGGAAAGCAAUUCCUUGGUAACGAAGCUAACGCGUGAAGUUGACCGCCUGGGGGAGGACGGCGCGAGUAAACGUACAANAGAGUAGAGCGNGAGAGUGCGACGACGACGACGAGGGAGGUAGG